UACGGGGGGGGGCAAGCGUUGUUCGGAAUUACUGGGCGUAAAGGCUCGUAGGUGGCCAACUAAGUCAUGCGUGAAAUCCCUCGGCUUAACCGGGGAACUGCGUCUGAUACUGGAUGGCUUGAGUUUGGGAGAGGGAUGCGGAAUUCCAGGUGUAGCGGUGAAAUGCGUAGAUAUCUGGAGGAACACCGGUGGCGAAGGCGGCAUCCUGGACCAACACUGACACUGAGGAGCGAAAGCCAGGGGAGCAAACGGG
rnacentral:rRNA from 1 species